UCGGGACUCCUCCGUAAAGCCGCCUGGAGGCCAAAAAGAGUUUUGGCUUCGGAAAGAGCAGAAAAGGAGGUCGCGCAGGAGGGCUCGUGGGGGUGGAAGAGAUAACCGCCCGGCGCAGGUCUAGGUCUCCCAUUGGGGGAUCCGUGGCAUCCUUCGGAGGAGAGGCGGCUCCGGCCAAACAGGGCGAUGCUGUGCAGUGGUCAUCUACUACUACUCCUGGCAAGUAUUCCUUAUAGCUUUCUGCUGAAAAACUACGAGGAGGAUGAGGAUGAAGAUGAUGACCUGUCACUGUCAACAUCCCAGCCCCGUGGGGACCCUGCCCAGAAUGUGUCUGUUUGCCCAGCUCAAUGCACGUGCCCGACAGAGGAGACAGUGGAUUGUGGUGGCCUUGACUUGCACAUCUUCCCCAGCAAUAUCUCUACGGAGAUCCAGCAUCUUUCAUUGCAGAAUAAUCAAUUGCAAGAGCUACCCUACCAUGAACUAUCCCGUCUGAUCAACCUACGAACCCUCAACCUCCAUGACAAUCUGAUCACCUCUGAUGGUCUCCCAGAUGAAGCCUUUGAGUCACUGCAGUCACUUCAGUACAUCUACCUGGCCAAUAACAAGCUAUCUGUAGCACCACAGUUCCUACCCCACACACUACGCAUUGUGGACCUUGCUGCCAACUGCCUGACGUGGCUCUAUCCACUCACCUUUGGGCAUAAGCCUGGUCUCAGGUCUGUUUAUCUGCACAACAAUUACUUGAACAACACUGGUCUGUCCUUUGACGCUUUCAAUGGCUCAGAUGCUGUCAGCACCCUGAUCCUUUCCAACAAUCGGCUCACCUAUGUGCCCCAGAAUUUGCCCCGUGGUGUUGUUCGCCUCCAUUUGCAGAAUAAUCACAUUUCUCGUAUCCCUAAAGGGGCCUUGAGCAGCCAGGGGCGCCUCCGGGAGCUUUACCUGCAGAACAAUUAUCUAUCCAGUGAGGGCCUGAGCCAUCCCACGUUCAGCAAGCUGAAGAGCCUCGAAUAUCUGGACCUUUCCAACAACAACUUGACAGAGGUGCCUGCUGGUCUUCCUGCCAACAUAGUAAUACUACAUUUGGGCCGAAACCACUUGAAGGGACUACCACCAGAGCGUCUCAGCCGCGUGCGAGGCCUGCAGUAUCUCCUAUUGCAAAGCAAUGCUUUAACAACUUCAGGGAUGCACCCAGAGGCCUUUGCCCACUUGCGCUCCCUGCAUACCCUCCAUUUGUACAAUAAUCAGCUGGAUGGAAUCCCACCUGGACUUCCGCGACGUGUCCGAUCCUUGAUGCUGCUGCAUAACCAGAUUGCUCGCAUUGGCUUGAAUGACUUUGCGACCACGUAUGCUUUGACUGAGCUCAAUCUCAGUUACAACCGGCUUUAUAGUGCCCACAUCCACCGUCUGGCCUUCCGCAAGCUUAGGCUCCUAGAAACUCUGGACAUCUCUGGCAAUAGGCUCACGCUUCUCCCUGCUGGGUUGCCCACCAGUCUUCAAGUCCUCAACCUUCAGAAGAAUCAGCUCAAUGCUCUUUCUCCAGAACGGUUAGUUAACCUCACCGUACUUAAAGAGCUGCACCUGGCACACAACCGUCUGAAGAUCAGCAGUAUUUCUCCAGGGACUUGGCAUGAGUUGCAUGGGCUCAAGCUCCUGGAUCUGAGUUUCAAUGAGUUGUCAUACAUUCCACCAGACCUUCCAGAAUCACUGGAAUAUCUAUACUUGCAACACAACAGAAUUAUUGUCAUUAUGGCUGAAACUUUCCUCACAACAUCCAAGAUACGGGUCAUCUCUCUGAGAUCAAAUCGCUUAUUGGCAGCCAAUGUGUCGGAAGAGGCAUUUGCAGACCUUAAAUUCCUGGAAGUAGUAGACCUGGCAGGCAACCCAGACCCUAUCAGCCUCUCUCUUCUGCAAGCUGGACACCAGGCCCAGACUCAAAUGGCCACCUAGGAAAGUAGCCUGGAAGAGGUUAGAUUUAGAGCUCACAGUGGACCUAACUUAUUACCAUCCGGAAUUCUCUGCACUACUCUACUUCCUUAGGCCUUUUGAUGACUCUAAUCUACCUGCCAACUUCUGGAAGGGGUUCUGUUGUAUAGUGUUUACUCUUGCGGUUUCAGUCAGUCAAAUACAACAAAGCCAGUGCAAACAAGCUGCUUUUCUUGGGAGCAAAACUGGAAUGCUAAGUGCCAAUGGAUCUACAUUUGGCUUGGCUAAGCUUUCCAGGAACUAAAGCGACAGUGAUACCCAGAAGAAGCUAGUGCAUCCUCCUGCACUCAUUUGCAAUAUUGGCAAGGACAUUCAGUGGAGCACUUCCCCCACAGUUCCUUCUGCAUCACUUCUCAUAUGUAUUGCCAAUCUAAUAGCCCAGCUGCUGCAGUGAGCUACAAAGUUGUAAAUGCCAAGGUUUUCUUCUCCAUGUGUGAAAUGCUAUUUAAUUGUUUUGCAAAGGAGAAGAUGACAGAAAUGACAGCUAGGCUGUUCACUAUCACAUAGAAUUUACUAGCCAGUGUUUUGAUCUCCCACAUUUAUGACUGUUUGAGUAGAGAGAAGAUUGGACUAGAAGACCUUCAAGGUCCCUUCCAACCCUAUUAUUCUGUUCUAACUAAGGGUCCAUCAUUACAGGACUAAAGUCAUAAUAAGGCUUGUAUUUUUCUAUGGAAAAUAUAACUUUAAUUGCAAUCAAAGACACCAUGCCUGUAUCAAGGAUGAAGCCAUAGAAACUGAAUUAUUUUAAUAUUAAAUGACUUCAUAAGCUAAACUUGUAUUAGCUUAACAUAUUAAACUGUUUUUAUACAGAGAUAGAUGAGGAAAAAAAAGAAAUUAAAGUGAUAACAUAGAUGGAAGACUCCAUAAGAAUGGCAUAUUAUUGUUGAGCAGACACAUAAACAGAAUCCAGAUUAAAAUGAGGUUUGGAGAAUUUAUUACUGGUACAUUAAAGAUUUUUUGUUUUGAACAAUCUCUCUCCGCUCCCGCCCUUAAAAAUGUUUUAUAUUUAUGUUAUCCUAUACAUAAAAUAUAGCCAUAACACAGAUUUGCAGCCUUUCCUUUUAACAUCAAUUCUGAAAACCUGUGGCUGAGCAAUAGUUUCAGAGACAGGCACUUUUAUAAAAAUGAGAUUGUGAAAAUGGGUCCGGAAAGAAACGGGUAUAUGGUACAUUUGUCUUCCUUUUAUCAUCUUUACAAUAAACUAAAAUUUGGUUUAAAAAGGUAUGUAGGCGGAGGCAGGGAAGACCACCUGGAUACAACCCACAGUUCAUCACCUCAUUUCAUCCUGAGCAGCAGCACAGCAGCAACAAUCCUGAGUUAAUUUCUUAAACUCAAAUCUUACAG